GAUGAACGCUGGCGGCGUGCCUAAUACAUGCAAGUCGAGCGAAAGGACGCGAAGCUUGCUUCUCUGUUGUUAGCGGAGGAGGGGAGAGUAACACGUGGAAACCCUACCUAUCAGAGUGGGAUAUCUUCGGGAAACCGGAGCUUAUACCGGAUAAUCUUUUGAACCGCGUGGUUCAAAAGAGAAAGACGGUCUUGCUGUCACUUAUAGAUGGUUACGCGCUGCAUGAGCUAGUUGGUAAGGUAAAGGCUUACCAAGGCAACUAUGCAUAGCCGACCUGAGGGGGGGAUCGGCCACACUGGAGCUGAGACACGGUCCAUGCGCCUACGGGACGCAGCAGUAGGGAAUCUGCCGCAAUAGGCGAAAGCCUUACGGAGCAACGCCGCGCGUGUGAUGAAGGUCUUCGGAUCGGAAAACUCUGUUAUGAGGUAAGAACAUAUGUGUAAGUAGCUGUACACAGCGUGACGGUACCUAAUCAGAAAGCCACGGCUAACUACGUG
rnacentral:rRNA from 1 species